UUAGUGACACGGAAGGUAAGACAGAGCCGGGAAUGAGAAAACCGGUGCAAGCACAAUAGAUGUGUGGGAGGAAAAUCCCCCGCAUAAGUCAAAGGUGUGAUGCGGACCGAAAAAGAGUAGGGAAGCUGUUAAGCAAGCCGUCAAGAAAAGCUGCUAUUGUUUCAUUAUGGCCCGUACCGUAAACCGACACAGGUGGAUGGGGAGAGAAUCCUAAGGCCGGCGGAAGAAGUAUUGUUAAGGAACUCGGCAAAAUGACCCCGUAACUUCGGGAGAAGGGGUGCCUGCGAGAGCAGGCCGCAGAGAAGAGGCCCAAGCAACUGUUUAGCAAAAACACAGGUCUAUGCAAAACCGAAAGGUGAGGUAUAUGGGCUGACGCCUGCCCGGUGCUGGAAGGUUAAGGGGAGUGGUCAGGAAACGAAGCCACGAACUUAAGCCCCAGUAAACGGCGGCCGUAACGAUAACGGUCCUAAGGUAGCGAAAUUCCUUGUCGGGUAAGUUCCGACCCGCACGAAAGGCGUAAUGAUUUGGGCGCUGUCUCGACAAUACAUCCGGUGAAAUUGAAGUGCCAGUGAAGAUGCUGGCUACCUGCGCCAGGACGGAAAGACCCCAUGGAGCUUUACUCCAGCUUGAUACUGGGACCCGGUAUUGCAUGUACAGGAUAGGUGGGAGGCUAGGAAAUGUGGACGCCAGUCUGCAUGGAGCCGCUGUUGGGAUACCACCCUUGUGGUGCUGGGUUUCUAACCAGAGGCCGUGAACCGGUCUGGGGACAAUGUCAGGUGGGGAGUUUGACUGGGGCGGUCGCCUCCGAAAGGGUAUCGGAGGCGCCCAAAGGUUCCCUCAGAAUGGUUGGAAACCAUUCGAAGAGUGCAAAGGCAGAAGGGAGCUUGACUGCGACACCGACGGGUGGAGCAGGUACGAAAGUAGGGCUUAGUGAUCCGGUGGAAUUUAAGUGGGAAUGCCAUCGCUCAACGGAUAAAAGCUACCCUGGAUAACAGGCUGAUCACUCCCAAGAGUUCACAUCGACGGAGUGGUUUGGCACCUCGAUGUCGGCUCAUCGCAUCCUGGGGCUGAAGUCGGUCCCAAGGGUUGGGCUGUUCGCCCAUUAAAGCGGUACGCGAGCUGGGUUCAGAACGUCGUGAGACAGUUCGGUCCCUAUCCGGCGUGGGCGUAGGAUAUCUGAGAGGAGCUGUCCUUAGUACGAGAGGACCGGGAUGGACUGACCUCUGGUGUACCGGUUGGCGAUCAACGCCACGGCCGGGUAGCCAUGUCGGGACGGGGUAAACGCUGAAGGCAUCUAAGCGUGAAGCCCCCCUCAAGAUGAGAUAUCCCAUCGUAAGAGUAAGACCCCUUGAAGACGACGAGGUUGAUAGGGCAGGGGUGGAAGUGCUGUAAGGCAUGGAGCUGACUGCUACUAAUCGGUCGGGGGCUUGAACA
rnacentral:rRNA from 1 species